GUGCCAGCAGCCGCGGUAAUACGGAGGGGGCUAGCGUUGUCCGGAAUUACUGGGCGUAAAGCGCGCGUAGGCGGUCCACCAAGUCGGGGGUGAAAGCCCGGAGCUCAACUCCGGAAUUGCCUCCGAAACUGGUGGACUGGAGUUCGGGAGAGGAGAGCGGAAUUCCCAGUGUAGAGGUGAAAUUCGUAGAUAUUGGGAAGAACACCGGUGGCGAAGGCGGCUCUCUGGCCCGCAACUGACGCUGAGGCGCGAAAGCGUGGGGAGCAAACAGGAUUAGAAACCCUGGUAGUCC
rnacentral:rRNA from 1 species